rnacentral:RNase_P_RNA from 3 species
GCGAGCCACUGGACGGCCUCCGGACCGUGGGUCUGAGGACGCUCCGCCCACCGUGUGGGAGCGCGACGCCGUAAGGCGUUUGGGGAGACCCAAGCCUCUGGCACAGAAACGCUCGGCGAAACCAAUACGGAUGACAAUGAUGGUUCACUGAGGACAUGGUUUCGCCUUGAAACGGUCAUGCCGCGCGGUGCAAGGGUCUAUGCGCCGAUGAGCCCCCACAUGAGGCGCAGGUAACCCGCAUAGUCAAAUGCCGUCUAAAACUCAAGGCGGGCUACGGGUGGCACGC